rnacentral:misc_RNA from 1 species
UUAAGUUCAGCGGGUAGUCCUACCUGAUUUGAGGUCAAAGUGUUAUGUGUUGUUAUAGAAACAACAACUAGAAGCUAACAUUUGCUUCAAAGCUAUUAGCAUAGAUAUUUAUCAAACUAAAGCUUCUGUGAAGAUGAUGCUAGCUAAUACAUUUAAAAGUAGCCGACUUUGAAAGGCCAGCAACACUUCAAAAUCCAAAG